GACGCGCGCGAGAUUUGAAUUUCCUCUGCGUGCGGUCAGUGCCCGCGCAGCGUUUUAUGGUACUGUACCGUGAGUAACUGAAACUACAGAAAGUGAAACCUUGGAUAGGGGAGAACUACUGUAUUGGAUUAGAUCUUUUUAGAGCAACAAUUUAAAUGCUAAGUAAACUUGUCAAAUAAAAACCAGGCAUUCUAGGACUGGUUGCUAAUAGAGUAGAAGAUUUUGCCAAGAUAUCUUGGGAAGAGUCAAGCAGGAUGGGGAUGGUGGGAGGGGAAGAAGUGAAUGUAUAUUUUAAAGCCACACUUGGUUUUCAGAGCUAAAGGAGGAGGCAUCUAUUUAAUCCCACAAAUGUGCACUGAACCUCAGGCAUUGUGUAAAGCCAUCAAGGAUAUUAGCUAAACUUGUUACUGUCCCCAGAGAGCUUAUAGACAGGGGAGAAAUGCAAGUCACAGACAAGUAAUAAUUCAGUAUAGUAAGUACUAUGACAGUGGUUUAGAAAAUACUAUGCGAAAUUUGGCAGGUAGAAAGCCUCAAGAUUAUCCUACUGUCCAGGUGGGGAAACCCUAGGCCCAGAGAGAAUUACAGACUAUAUAUGUGAGCAAGGAAGAGGUUUUACUAACAUUGCAUUUUAAUACCCAAAUACCAUCGGGUAUUAAAAAAGGAAUUCUUAAACAUAUUCAAGCCAAGGUCAUAUAGCAUCUGUACCUAGAAGAGUUUCUGCUGCACUGAAGUCAUUUGAUAUUUUUAGGUUAAUGUUUUUCUAUAAGUUAAUAUCUACCUUGAAUUCCUUCACUUGCUCUUCUGUCAACAUGUAUGUUACAAUAUUAACAUUCAUCAGGCGAUAAACAUCUUUUUUCAACAUUGGUAAUUUCAGAGUUUUCAUUUUUUAAAGAUCAUAUUGUAUGUUGUUUUUAAUUGCAGAGAAUAGGGUGAAACACCAGUAGAGCAAAUAAGACGUGUAUUACACCUUUAAGACUUUAGUUGGAGGUUCUCUUUGAAGCUCUGUCAGCUAGGACAACAUAUUUCAAUUUCCAUUGACAGCCAUGUGAAGAUAUAUAAUGGUCUCAUGCAUUUUAAGUAUAUUGGGGGCUUUGUAUUUUUGACUCCUUUUCCUUUCACAACAGAGUUUAUUUACAAGGGAACGUAUUACCUUUUUUCUUGUUAAUAAGUGGCGCAGUAAACAUAAGGUUUGAAGAACUAGCCACCAAAACUUUGUUUUGCUAAAUGGCCACAUCAUUUUCCACGGUUAGAACUUUCUUUUCUUUUUUUUUUUUUUUUUUUUUUUUGAGAUGGAGUCUUGCUCUGUCACCCAGGCUGCAGUGCUGUUGAGAGAUCAGCUCACUGCAGCCUCCACCUCCUGGGUUCAAGCGAUUCUCCUGCCUCAGCCUCCCAAAUAGCUGGGAUUACAGGCAUGCACCACUAGACCUGGUUAAUUUUUGUGUUUUUAGUAGAGUUUUCAUCAUGUUGGUCAGUCUGGUCUCAAACUCCUGACCUCAGGUGAUCCGCCUGCCUCGGCCUCCCAAAGUGCUGGAAUUACAGGCACCGUGCCUGGCCACCAUGGUUAGAACUUGCUAAAAUCUCUGAUAGAUGACAGUAGGUUUGCAGAUAUAGAUGUCUGCUCCAGGAUAACCUUUGAUGCCUUGAGGCAUAAAUCCUGGAAAUAAUAAAAACUUCUUUCAAAAAAACCUAUCCCUCAGCAUUGGUUAUGAGGGACGUUUCAGCCGUUCUUUUCAUAAACUGUACAUGGAACUAUAUUCCCCACAGUGUAGGUUCUAUAGAAUCUUGAGGCAGGAUCUUAUAGGCUCAUUUACCACAUAGGAAUUCCCUGGGGGAAAAUCUCUGGUAGAAAUCAGGAUGGCUAGUUUUGAGUCUCUUCCUAAUGAAUAUUAUUAGGAGUCCUAAGCAUUUUAAUAUUGGGGUAAAAAGAAGUUGAGGUUUCCAUUAAGAACCCUUACUUUUGUCAGUUUUUUCCUGUUUGUUUUUUCAAUUGAUCUCACCUGAAAUGUAUGUCAUAUGGUGGUUUGAGGUUAAAUGAUACAAAAAAUUUUACACAUUAUUUCUGUAAGUAUUUUGGUUUGCCAGUUACAACAAAACUCAAUGGGGCAGUGCUGCUGAAUUAGAUUUGGGCGUUUUGAUAAUGGGGCAGUUGUCUUCAUGGAGUAGAAAACUUCCCCAGGAAAUUGGCAAAGUUUUCAGAACUGAUAGAGUAAAAUCAGAAAAUCUAUCUACUACUCUUCCUCUUGUUCUCUGGGCCAUGGCAUACAAGGGCCUUUGCUCUGUCAUUCCUUUUGCCUGGAUCAUGGCUCACUUAUUUAAAACUUGCCCAAAUUUCAAUUCCUUGAUGAAAUUAUGACUGCUCCUUUAAAAUUGCAACCCGUUGCACCCUCCCCCAAUCUUGCUCUCUCCUUUUCAUCUCCAUUUCUUUUCCGAAUGUUCUAACAUACUGUGUUAUUGUGUUUAUUGCCUACUCUUUUUCUACUCUUUUUCCUUACUAGAACAUAAACUCCACGAGGGCAGCUGGUUUUAGUUGUUUUAUUUAUGGAUGCAUCCCAAGCAUCUAGAACAAGGCCUGACACAUAGUGGAAGGUCAGUAAACUUUUCUAAAAUGAGUUUAUCCAGGUAAACAGCCAUUUUUAAUGGGGAGGAGGAUCAUCUUUCCAGAUGUCACGUGCCACUUUUGUUGUAGACAAAGCCAGGUGAAUAACAUGAACUGUUACAGGUGUUGGCUUUUGGAGUUUUUAACUAAAUGGUGUAAGUUCU
rnacentral:lncRNA from 1 species